GACGAACGCUGGCGGCGUGCUUAACACAUGCAAGUCGAGCGGUAAGGCCCUUUCGGGGGUACACGAGCGGCGAACGGGUGAGUAACACGUGGGUGACCGCCCUUAGCUCUGGGAUAAGCCUGGGAAACUGGGUCUAAUACCGGAUAUGACUCCAUGACGCAUGUUGUGGGGUGGAAAGCCUUGUGCGGCUAGGGAUGGGCCCGCGGCCUAUCAGCUUGUUGGUGGGGUGAUGGCCUACCAAGGCGACGACGGGUAGCCGGCCUGAGGGGGUGACCGGCCACACUGGGACUGAGACACGGCCCAGACUCCUACGGGAGGCAGCAGUGGGGAAUAUUGGACAAUGGGCGAAAGCCUGAUCCAGCAACGCCGCGUGAGGGAUGACGGCCUU
rnacentral:rRNA from 1 species